rnacentral:lncRNA from 1 species
CAACUUUCAUGUGGCUGGUGCCUCUUAAGGGCAAUUUACUUUUUCAUUCCUUGUCAUUUUUUGUAUAUACAAAUCAUACCUUCCACCAGGUGAAUCAAUCAAUAUAUAUAUGUGUGUAAAGCCUAAAGGUUUAUUUAGCACUAUAUAUAACUAUCUUGAAUAUCUUGGAAGCAAUAUAUAACUACAAUCUACCUAUAAACUAAAACAACAAAU